rnacentral:lncRNA from 1 species
ACUGGAACACACAUUAUGUGCUGCCUCAAGCAUAACUUCAGUACUCAGAAAAGGUACAGUACCUGACUUCAACAGAGGUUCCAGAAUUCCCAGCAUCUCAGUUGAUCUGUGAAUAUUGUUCUGCCAGAAGUACUUGCCAGGUCAGAGAAGUAGUUACAAGGGGCUGCAUUAGCAGAGCUACUGAUAGAAACAGGGCCAGGAGACCUUCUUCUCCUGUUUUAAAGCCUUUAUUAGGAAUGAGCUUGGGGGGGGGGGGGCCCGACGGGUCGCGCGCACACCGCCGUUGCUCCCUGAAGCGACUCAGAAGAGGAGGAAUGCAGCUAUACCUACGGGGUGCAAAGUAGGCAAAGAUGGGAUCUCCGCCCUCACGGGUAUACCCGGUGUCCCUUUAUUGGCUCGAGAGUCCAGGGGUGUCAUCUCUAACCAGUCUCUCCCCGGUCAGGGCGAGGAAAGCGGAGUUGAUCGGGUUUUUCGUCCGAGGUGGUGUUUCUUGGCGGCUGAUUUGCAUAAGCCCCGAUCGCCAUCUUGGGAAGUCUCUACCUUCGGCCGUCACUUCGGGAAGUCUCCAGUCGCCAUGUUGCCAUGCCGGGAAACCUCCAACCGCAAUCGUCAUGUGGGCCGCCGAACCACGAUCGCCGUGCGGGCCGCCGAACUCCGGCCGCUGCGCCGGGCCGCCGGACCAGGCCGCUGCACCGGGCCGCCGCACCAGGCUGCUGCACCGGGCUGCCGCAUCGGGCCGCCGUACUGGGCCGCUGCACCGGGCCGCCGCAUCGGGCCGCCGCAUCAGGCUGCUGCACCGGGCCGCCGGCUCAGGCCGCCGCACCGGGCCACUGCAUCGGGCUUGCUGUACCAGGCGGUUCCUUAACAGGAGCAACAAGGAACCGCCCACCAUGAAACCUGGAAUAGGAACGUCUCGAAACCUGGAACAAAGGCUGCAAAAGAACCUGGAACAAGAACAUCUUGGAACCUGGAACAGAGCCUGACAAAGAACUUGAAAAGCAUGGACUGCAGGUCCUGAGGCUGUGAGCGGAAAAACACAAGAAGAGUGGAGCCUGGAGUAUAUCCUAAUGGAAAGGUCAGCCCAAGAAGAGGAAUGGU